AGAGGGUGCAAGCGUUAAUCGGAAUUACUGGGCGUAAAGGGCGCGUAGGUUGGACUUCAAGUUGGAUGUGAAAGCCCCGGGCUCAACCUGGGAUGGUCAUCCGAGACUGAAGACCUAGAGUACGGUAGAGGGAAGUGGAAUUUCCGGCGUAGCGGUGAAAUGCGUAGAUAUCGGAAGGAACACCAGUGGCGAAGGCGACUUCCUGGACUGAUACUGACACUGAGGCGCGAAAGCGUGGGUAGCGAACAGGAUUAGAUACCCUGGUAGUCCACGCCGUAAACGAUGAGAACUAGCCCGUUGGUUGAUUAAAAUCGAUUAGUGGCGCAGCAAACGCAUUAAGUUCUCCGCCUGGGGAGUACGGCCGCAAGGUUA
rnacentral:rRNA from 1 species